rnacentral:sRNA from 1 species
GGGUACCUGAAAGUAGUUGGAAAAGUAAAGGAGGUUGGUCCUUGUGCUGGCCACACGACACGCUCGUUUACCGGUGGCCAAAGUAACGGAUGUGCUUGACGUCAUCUGCCCUAUAGAGCUGGCAAGGUUUUGUUAUCCUUGAAAGUGAGAACAUUUUGAAAACACACUUGACUGCUACACAACGGCAUAGUGUGAAGGGGAAUAACUGCGCUGGGACCAUAUGAUUGAAUUCUAACUGGUUUUUAAGAAACAUAAAUAUUAAUUUUAGUGUAGCGUCUGCGGCCGUAUUGUUACUGGAUAUAAAAAGGAAAAAAAAGAUUGAUUUCUGUAUUGGAUUACGACUACAUACUUGUUGGAUAUAAUCAAGUUAUCGGUUUCUGGAUAUCUACUUACUGGAUACAUUGGAUAUAAAGUAUCUUACUGGAUAUAAAACAACGGAGGCUGUCUGG